GACGAACGCUGGCGGCGUGCUUAACACAUGCAAGUCGAACGGUAAGGCCCUUCGGGGUCCACGAGUGGCGAACGGGUGAGUAACGCGUGAGUAACCUGCCCUUCACUCUGGGAUAACAGUUGGAAACGGCUGCUAAUACCGGAUAUUCAGCUCCUGUCGCAUGGCGGGGGUUGGAAAGUUUUGGUGGUGGAGGAUGGGCUCGCGUCCUAUCAGCUUGUUGGUGGGGUGAUGGCCUACCAAGGCGUCGACGGGUAGCCGGCCUGAGAGGGCGACCGGCCACAUUGGGACUGAGAUACGGCCCAAACUCCUACGGGAGGCAGCAGUGGGGAAUAUUGCACAAUGGGCGGAAGCCUGAUGCAGCAACGCCGCGUGCGGGAUGACGGCCUUCGGGUUGUAAACCGCUUUCAGCAGGGACGAAGCGCAAGUGACGGUACCUGCAGAAGAAGCACCGGCUAACUACGUG
rnacentral:rRNA from 1 species